rnacentral:tRNA from 1 species
GGGCAUAUAGCUCAGCUGGCUAGAGCGCAACACUGAUAAUGUUGAGGUCCGUGGUUCGAGCCCACGUAUGCCCACUA